GAAGAGGAGAAUGACAUACUUCACCAGAGACUACAGCAGUAUGAGAAUCGUUGGUCAGAGUAUGAGUUGAAAAUGAAAUCCAUGGAAGAAAUAUGGCAGAAACAAAUGAGAUCGCUGCAGUCAAGUCUUUCCAUUGCAAAAAGGAGCUUAGCCCUUGAUGAUUCCAGGAGGAACUCCGAUGCAUCUGUCAAUCCAACUGAUGAGAAAGAGUCUAGCUGGGAGACAGGAAGUAACCAGAGGGCCAGAGAGAGCAAUGGAGUACGACCAAUGAGCGCAGGUCUUAGUGUCAUAAGCCGAUUAGCGGAGGAGUUUGAGCAGAGGAGUCAAGUGUUUGGUGACGAUGCUAAGUUCUUGGUGGAAGUAAAAUCAGGUCAAGUUGAGGCUAACUUGAGUCCAGAUCGUGAGCUAAGGAGGUUGAAGCAGAUGUUUGAAGCUUGGAAGAAAGAUUAUGGAUCAAGAUUGAGAGAAACAAAGGUGAUUCUGAAUAAACUGGGGAGUGAUGAAGGAGGCAGUGACAAAAUGAAAAAGAAAUGGUGGGGAAGGAGGAAUAGCACAAGGUUGAACUAAGUUAAAUUCCCUUUAUUGAGUUGGAUCGAAGUUUUUGCUUUACAUACCAAGGCAGGUGUUGUGCAGUGAGCAAGUUUGUAUAGAAGUGAAAUGGGAUGUUAGUAUUAAUGUGAGACUCGUAGUAGUAUGUAGUUUGAAAUACAGCAUUCCUGUAAAG
rnacentral:misc_RNA from 1 species